GUGAGUCAUCGAAUCUUUGAACGCACAUUGCGCCCCUUGGUAUUCCGACGGGCACGCCUGUGUGAACGUCAUUUAAACACUCGAGCCCGGCUCGGUGAUGGGGUUUGUUCUGACAAAGAGCAUCCGCCCGCAAGACAACGACGCCCGACGACGGCGGCUCGGAGUAGUGAAACACGUCUCUCGAGCCCCGUCUCCCCCGGGCGUACUCUCCCUUCAAAACUUGACUUCACAUCAGACGAGGUUACCCGCUGAACUUAAGCAUAUCAAUAAGCGGAGGA
rnacentral:misc_RNA from 1 species